rnacentral:rRNA from 1 species
GUCCACACUGUAAACGAUGAUUACUCUAUGUUGGCGAUACACAGCCAGCGUCUUAGCGAAAGCGAUAAGUAAUCCACCUGGGGAGUACGCCCGCAAGGGUGAAACUCAAAGGAAUUGACGGGGGUCCGCACAAGCGGUGGAACAUGUGGUUUAAUUCGAUGAUACGCGAGGAACCUUACCUGGGCUAGAAUGCCCUUGACAGAUUCAGAGAUGGAUUUUUCGUCAGACAAGAGCAAGGUGCUGCAUGGCUGUCGU